rnacentral:lncRNA from 1 species
AUACGCGCUCAGGAUGCACAGCGGUUCAUUGUAUUUUCAUACUUUGUCCCUGCUGAGUGCCCAGUUGCCACAGAGGCCACAGCAGAUGUAUCUACUGGUAAAAGAGAGGACUUAUUGACAGAUACACAUCUUUCCUCAAUGCUGCAUCGAUACCUGCCACACUUCUUCAACGAUGACUCCAUUCCACCACAGCAGACAGUAGAGGGAACCACUGAGCUCUCAGUUCCAGUGGCAAUAUCUAAUAUAAAGGAAGAGGACAGAUUCUAUCCUUUCUCCCUCCCACCACUGGCUCAGCGGUUCGUUGGCAAUUCAUUCAUUGUCCCGGAAACCUCCCAGCCUGCUGUUUCAGCCACAGAGUGCCAAGUUGCCAAAGAGGCCACUGCAGACACAGCCACUGUCAAGAGAGAGAACCGAUGGGCAGCCAGAAGUCUUCCUUCAGUGCUGCCUCCAUGCCUGCCACCAGUCUUUGACGAUGACUUCAUGCCUCCAGAGCAGACAGUAGAGGAUGCCUAUGAGGUCUCAGGUGCUACAGAGAACACUUCAGGCACAGCUACUGUUGCCAUUUACACUUGGGAAGAUAAAAGUCCUUCAGUUCUGCCAUGCAUCCACAACAACAAUGACCACCAACUGCCAGAGGAAACAGUUGAGGACAACACAGAGUGCUCAGUUGACACCGAGGCAAGUGCAGUUGCACCCACUGUCAAGAGAGAGGAACUGACAGGUGAUAAAAGCCCUGUCCGAGCAAUUCCUCCAAUCCUGGGAUGCAUCCAUGACAAGGACCACAAGGAGCCAGAGCAGAAAGUGAAGGGCCCUAGUGAAGAGGUGGAUCUCUGCCCUCACACUCACCAGCUGGACCCAGAUGUUAACUUAACUCUGGCAACCCACAAUGAUGAACCCAGGACCUGGACCCUGGAAGAGGCAAAGGAUUAUUGGAUAGGCAUUGAGAGUGAAGAGAGGAACGUCAAGGAGGAGGUGAGACAGAGGGAGGGAUUGAAGCGUGAGGUGGACUGUGCCCAUUCCAAGAGCUCCAAUGGGAUGGUUUCAGCAGAGAGAGCAGAGACCAUCCUUGGAAGAGUGGGCUUUCUGGUCAUGAACCACAUGCAGAAAAUCCCAUUUUUGAAGAUGAAGGAAAAAGAGAAAAAUAAGAAACUGCAUAAGAAGUUGAAAGAUGACGAGAAAGAGAGAAAGGAGAAGAAAAACAAGGAGGAGGAGAACAAAAAGAGGGAGAAGAAAGAGAUGAAUGAGAGAGAGAAAGAGCAGAAGAAAGUCAUGAAGGCUGAGAAAAAGAGGGAGAAGUUAGAACAGAAAAAGAGAGAGAAGGAAAGAAAAGAGAAGGAAAAGGCAGAGAAAAAGAGGUUAGAGGGGCUGAUGAAGAUACAUAAUGACAUGAUGAAAGACAGGAUUAAGAAAGAGAAGAAGUGUUCUGAGGAGCUGAAAAAGAGAGAGAAAGCUCAAGCUGAGUUCUUGGAGAUGGAGAGAAAGAUUCAAGAAAAGGAGGAGAAGAAGAGAGAAAAGAUGAGGAAAGAGGAGAGGAAGAGACUAGAGAAGAAGAAAAAGAGGGAGCCAGCUGGAGGUGGAACUGAGAGGGUGAUAGAAGAGCAGGGAAAGGAUGAAAGCUUGAAGAUGGAUGAGUAGACUGGGUAUUAGAGAGAGAGAGAGCAAGGCGGGAUACUGUAUUUUUGCCUGCAAUGAAAAAUGCAAUAAAUAAAAUCUCUGUUUGAUUUUUGUCAGGGCAUACUGUAUAACACAGUAUAAACACACAAUGUUUACAUUUCACAAAUCUGGGGAUUUUUGCACUGUUAAAAUGUGGAAUUCCAAAUCUACCCGAUGGAGCGGAGCUAUUCUGAGAUGAGGAGGACGGAAAGGCAGGGGGAGUAGAUGGAGGGUAGAGCGGAGUUUGUUAGAGAGGAAAUUGAUAGAGAUGAAUAUGACAGAGAGGAAUAUGAUAGAGAGGAAUAUGAUAGAGUGGAAUAUGAUAGAGUGGAAUAUGAUAGAGAGGAAUAUGAUAGAGAGGAAUAUGAUAGAGGGGAAAAUGAUAGAGAGGAAUUUUAUAGAUGGGAAUAUGAUAGAGAGGAAUAUGAUAGAGAGGAAUAUGAUAGAGAGGAAAAUGAUAGAGAGGAAUUUUAUAGAUGGGAAUAUGAUAGAGAGGAAUAUGAUAGAGAGGAAUAUGAUAGAGAGGAAUAUGAUAGAGGGGAAAAUGAUAGAGAGGAAUUUUAUAGAUGGGAAUAUGAUGGAAUGAAAUAUGAUAGAGAGGAAUAUGAUAGAGAGGAA